ensembl:lncRNA
CGGGAAAGGUGGAGAGCCCGGAACCCAAGACGCCCCGGCCAUGCACCUCCCGUUCUUCACCCUCCACACAAAGGUGGAGGGGGACGGCGUUCGCAGACGCAAUUACAGCCAGGUCUCUCGCCCGUCCGCUGUGGAUUGGUUUGGUGUGUUUUGCAUGUGCCAGGAGGUUGAAGAGUAAGCUCCUACAGAGUGGAGCUCCCAAUGGCGCCAGCAUGGCUGAGGAUGACGCUGUGACUGCCAAAAGCCUGUCUGUGUUGGGUGGGAUGUACGGCACC